GUGCCAGCCGCCGCGGUAAGACGGAGGGGGCAAGCGUUGUCCGGAAUCACUGGGCGUAAAGCGCACGUAGGCGGGACGGUGCGUCGGUGCUGAAAGCGCCAGGCUUAACCUGGCGAGGCGUGCCGAUACGACCGACCUCGAGGCAGACAGAGGGUGGCGGAAUUCCGGGUGUAGUGGUGAAAUGCGUAGAGAUCCGGAGGAACGCCGGUGGCGCAAGCGGCCACCUGGGUCUGACCUGACGCUGAGGUGCGAAAGCGUGGGGAGCAAACCGGAUUAGAUACCCCCGUAGUCC
rnacentral:rRNA from 1 species